GAUGAACGCUGGCGGCGUGCCUAAUACAUGCAAGUCGAGCGAACAGAUAAGGAGCUUGCUCCUUUGACGUUAGCGGCGGACGGGUGAGUAACACGUGGGUAACCUACCUAUAAGACUGGGAUAACUUCGGGAAACCGGAGCUAAUACCGGAUAAUAUUUCGAACCGCAUGGUUCGAUAGUGAAAGAUGGUUUUGCUAUCACUUAUAGAUGGACCCGCGCCGUAUUAGCUAGUUGGUAAGGUAACGGCUUACCAAGGCGACGAUACGUAGCCGACCUGAGAGGGUGAUCGGCCACACUGGAACUGAGACACGGUCCAGACUCCUACGGGAGGCAGCAGUAGGGAAUCUUCCGCAAUGGGCGAAAGCCUGACGGAGCAACGCCGCGUGAGUGAUGAAGGUCUUCGGAUCGUAAAACUCUGUUAUCAGGGAAGAACAUACGUGUAAGUAACUGUGCACGUCUUGACGGUACCUAAUCAGAAAGCCACGGCUAACUACGUG
rnacentral:rRNA from 1 species